rnacentral:rRNA from 1 species
AUUGAACGCUGGCGGCAGGCCUAACACAUGCAAGUCGAGCGGAGGAAGGGAGCUUGCUCCUGGAGUCAGCGGCGGACGGGUGAGUAAUGCCUAGGAAUCUGCCUGGUAGUGGGGGAUAACGUCCGGAAACGGGCGCUAAUACCGCAUACGUCCGGAGGGAGAAAGUGGGGGAUCUUCGGACCUCACGCGAUCAGAUGAGCCUAGGUCGGAUUAGCUAGUUGGUGGGGUAACGGCCUACCAAGGCGACGAUCCGUAACUGGUCUGAGAGGAUGAUCAGUCACCCUGCAGCUGAGACACGCUCCAGCCUCCGACGUGAGGCAGCACUCGGGCAUAUUCGGCAAGGGGCGAAAGCCUGUUCCAGCCAUGCCGCGUGUCUCAAGAAGGUCUUCGGCUUGUAAAGCACUUUAUGUUGGGAGGAAGGGCAGUAAGUUAAUACCUUGCUGUUUUGACGUUCCCAACAGAAUAAGCCCCGGCUACCUUCGU